rnacentral:rRNA from 1 species
AUUACGUGCCAGCAGCCGCGGUAAUACGUAGGUGGCAAGCGUUGUCCGGAUUUAUUGGGCGUAAAGCGAGCGCAGGCGGUUUUUUAGGUCUGAUGUGAAAGCCUUCGGCUUAACCGGAGAAGUGCAUCGGAAACCGUGAGACUUGAGUGCAGAAGAGGACAGUGGAACUCCAUGUGUAGCGGUGAAAUGCGUAGAUAUAUGGAAGAACACCAGUGGCGAAGGCGGCUGUCUGGUCUGCAACUGACGCUGAGGCUCGAAAGCAUGGGUAGCGAACAGGAUUAGAUACCCUGGUAGUCCAUGCCGUAAACGAUGAGUGCUAAGUGUUGGAGGGUUUCCGCCCUUCAGUGCUGCAGCUAACGCAUUAAGCACUCCGCCUGGGGAGUACGACCGCAAGGUUGAAACUCAAAGGAAUUGACGGGGGCCCGCACAAGCGGUGGAGCAUGUGGUUUAAUUCGAUGCUACGCGAAGAACCUUACCAGGUCUUGACAUCUUCUGCUAACCUAAGAGAUUAGGCGUUCCCUUCGGGGACGGAAUGACAGGUGGUGCAUGGUUGUCGUCAGCUCGUGUCGUGAGAUGUUGGGUUAAGUCCCGCAACGAGCGCAACCCUUAUUGUCAGUUGCCAGCAUUUAGUUGGGCACUCUGGCGAGACUGCCGGUGACAAACCGGAGGAAGGUGGGGAUGACGUCAAAUCAUCAUGCCCCUUAUGACCUGGGCUACACACGUGCUACAAUGGACGGUACAACGAGUCGCGAAACCGCGAGGUCAAGCUAAUCUCUGAAAGCCGUUCUCAGUUCGGAUUGCAGGCUGCAACUCGCCUGCAUGAAGUUGGAAUCGCUAGUAAUCGUGGAUCAGCAUGCCACGGUGAAUACGUUCCCGGGCCUUGUACACACCGCCCGUCACACCAUGAGAGUUUGUAACACCCAAAGCCGGUGAGGUAACCUUCGGGGGCCAGCCGUCUAAGGUGGGACAGAUGAUUAGGGUGAAGUCGUAACAAGGUAGCCGUAGGAGAACCUGCGGCUGGAUCACCUCCUUUCUAA